rnacentral:rRNA from 1 species
AUUGAACGCUGGCGGCAUGCUUUACACAUGCAAGUCGAACGGUAACAGGCCUUCGGGUGCUGACGAGUGGCGAACGGGUGAGUAAUGCAUCGGAACGUACCCAGAGGUGGGGGAUAACGCAGCGAAAGCUGUGCUAAUACCGCAUGUGAUCUAAGGAUGAAAGCGGGGGACCGAGCAGCAAUGUUUGGCCUCGCGCCUUUGGAGCGGCCGAUGUCGGAUUAGCUAGUUGGUGGGGUAAAGGCCUACCAAGGCGACGAUCCGUAGCUGGUCUGAGAGGACGACCAGCCACACUGGGACUGAGACACGGCCCAGACUCCUACGGGAGGCAGCAGUGGGGAAUUUUGGACAAUGGGCGCAAGCCUGAUCCAGCAAUGCCGCGUGCGGGAAGAAGGCCUUCGGGUUGUAAACCGCUUUUGGCAGGAACGAAACGGUGUCCGCUAAUACCGGGCGCUAAUGACGGUACCUGCAGAAUAAGCACCGGCUAACUACGUG